rnacentral:rRNA from 3 species
CACCGCGGUUAUACGAGAGGCUCAAGUUGACAGACAACGGCGUAAAGCGUGGUUAAGGAAAAUAUGUAACUAAAGCGGAACCUCCUCCUAGCUGUUAUACGCUUCCGAGGAAGUGAACCCCAACUACGAAAGUGGCUUUAUCCAACCUGAACCCACGAAAGCUAAGAAA